UUCCGGUUGAUCCUGCCGGAGGUUACUGCUAUCGAGGUUCGACUAAGCCAUGCGAGUCGAAUGUAGCAAUACAUGGCGAACUGCUCAGUAACACGUGGACAACCUGCCCUUAGGACGGGGAUAAACCCGGGAAACUGGGUAUAAUACCCGAUAGGUCUCGAUUGCUGGAAUGCAUCGAGAUUUAAAGCUCCGGCGCCUAAGGAUGGGUCUGCGGCCUAUCAGGUAGUAGUGGGUGUAGCGUACCUACUAGCCUACGACGGGUACGGGUUGUGAGAGCAAGAGCCCGGAGAUGGAUUCUGAGACACGAAUCCAGGCCCUACGGGGUGCAGCAGGCGCGAAAACUUUACAAUGCUGGCAACAGCGAUAAGGGAACCUCGAGUGCCAGGUUACAAAUCUGGCUGUCGAGAUGCCUAAAAAGCAUUUCAUAGCAAGGGCCGGGCAAGACCGGUGCCAGCCGCCGCGGUAACACCGGCGGCUCGAGUGGUAACCGUUAUUAUUGGGUCUAAAGGGUCUGUAGCCGGCCGGAUAAGUCUCUUGAGAAAUCUGGCAGCUUAACUGUCAGGCUUUCAGGAGAUACUGUCUGGCUCGAGGCCGGGAGAGGUGAGAGGUACUUCAGGGGUAGGGGUGAAAUCUUGUAAUCCUUGAAGGACCACCAGUGGCGAAGGCGUCUCACCAGAACGGACCUGACGGCAAGGGACGAAAGCUAGGGGCACGAACCGGAUUAGAUACCCGGGUAGUCCUAGCCGUAAACGAUACUCGCUAGGUGUCGGCCACGGUGCGACCGUUGUCGGUGCCGUAGGGAAGCCGUGAAGCGA
rnacentral:rRNA from 1 species